CCUUUGACGUUAGCGGCGGACGGGUGAGUAACACUGGGUAACCUACCUAUAAGACUGGGAUAACUUCGGGAAACCGGAGCUAAUACCGGAUAAUAUUUCGAACCGCAUGGUUCGAUAGUGAAAGGUGGUUUUGCUAUCACUUAUAGAUGGACCCGCGCCGUAUUAGCUAGUUGGUAAGGUAACGGCUUACAAGGCGACGAUACGUAGCCGACCUGAGAGGGUGAUCGGCCACACUGGAACUGAGACACGGUCCAGACUCCUACGGGAGGCAGCAGCC
rnacentral:rRNA from 1 species